UCUGACGGAGCAACGCCGCGUGAGUGAUGAAGGUUUUCGGAUCGUAAAGCUCUGUUGCCAGGGAAGAACGUCGCGGAGAGUAACUGCUCUGCGAAUGACGGUACCUGAGAAGAAAGCCCCGGCUAACUACGUGCCAGCAGCCGCGGUAAU
rnacentral:rRNA from 1 species